AACGAACGCUGGCGGCAUGCCUAACACAUGCAAGUCGAACGAACCCUUCGGGGUUAGUGGCGCACGGGUGCGUAACGCGUGGGAAUCUGCCCUUUGCUUCGGAAUAACUCAGGGAAACUUGUGCUAAUACCGGAUGAUGUCUUCGGACCAAAGAUUUAUCGGCAAGGGAUGAGCCCGCGUAGGAUUAGGUAGUUGGUGGGAUAAAGGCCUACCAAGCCGACGAUCCUUAGCUGGUCUGAGAGGAUGAUCAGCCACACUGGGACUGAGACACGGCCCAGACUCCUACGGGAGGCAGCAGUGGGGAAUAUUGGACAAUGGGCGCAAGCCUGAUCCAGCAAUGCCGCGUGAGUGAUGAAGGCCCUCGGGUCGUAAAGCUCUUUUACCAGGGAUGAUAAUGACAGUACCUGGAGAAUAAGCUCCGGCUAACUCCGUG
rnacentral:rRNA from 1 species